AUUGAACGCUGGCGGCAUGCCUUACACAUGCAAGUCGAACGGCAGCGGACCUUCGGGUGCCGGCGAGUGGCGAACGGGUGAGUAAUAUAUCGGAACGUACCUUUCAGUGGGGGAUAACGUAGCGAAAGUUACGCUAAUACCGCAUAUUCUGUGAGCAGGAAAGCAGGGGAUCGCAAGACCUUGCGCUGAUUGAGCGGCCGAUAUCAGAUUAGCUAGUUGGUGAGGUAAAGGCUCACCAAGGCGACGAUCUGUAGCGGGUCUGAGAGGAUGAUCCGCCACACUGGAACUGAGACACGGUCCAGACUCCUACGGGAGGCAGCAGUGGGGAAUUUUGGACAAUGGGCGCAAGUCUGAUCCAGCCAUGCCGCGUGAGUGAAGAAGGCC
rnacentral:rRNA from 1 species